CUCCCCUCUUUCCCCCCUUCGAGUUCGGGGAGAGCUUUUCGCGUGGCGCCAGCGGGGUCUCUCUUUUUCCCCCCCUUUCGCGCUCUCGAUCUCUCCUGCGUGUUGUAUGUGCGGUUGGUGGAUGCCGUGAUUUCGAGCAAUGAAACCGAGAGCUCGGGGCUGUGGUCGGAAAGGGAGCCCCUUCUCUUCUCUUUCGGCCGGUUUGUGUGAUUUUGCUAAAAUGCAUCACCAACAGCGAAUGGCUGCCUUAGGGACGGACAAAGAACUCAGUGAUUUACUGGAUUUCAGUGCGAUGUUUUCACCUCCUGUGAGCAGUGGGAAAAAUGGACCAACUUCUUUGGCAAGUGGACAUUUUACUGGCUCAAAUGUAGAAGACAGAACUAGCUCAGGGUCCUGGGGGAAUGGAGGACAUCCCAGUCCAUCCAGGAACUAUGGAGAUGGGACUCCUUAUGAACAUAUGACAAACAGGGACCUUGGAUCACACGACAAUCUAUCUCCUCCUUUUGUGAAUUCCAGAAUACAAAGCAAAGCUGAAAGGGGAUCCUAUUCAUCAUACGGGAGAGACACAAACCUUCAGGGUUGCCACCAGCAAAGUCUCCUUGGAGGUGACAUGGAAAUGGGCAACCCAGGCGCACUCUCACCCACCAAACCUGGCUCUCAGUACUAUCAGUAUUCUAGCAAUAACCCACGGAGGAGGCCUCUGCACAGUACCUCUGUGGAAGUACAAACAAAGAAGGUUCGAAAGGUCCCUCCAGGUUUACCAUCUUCAGUUUAUGCUCCUUCUGCAAGCACUGCCGACUACAAUCGGGAUUCACCAGGAUACCCAUCCUCAAAACCAGCAGCCAGCACUUUUCCUAGUUCUUUCUUCAUGCAAGAUGGUCAUCACAGCAGUGAUCCGUGGAGCUCCUCCAGUGGGAUGAAUCAGCCUGGUUAUUCUGGGAUGUUGGGCAAUUCUUCUCAUAUUCCACAGUCCAGUAGCUAUUGUAGUCUUCAUCCUCAUGACCGCUUGAGUUACCCAUCACACUCCUCAGCAGACAUCAAUUCCAGUCUUCCUCCAAUGUCAACUUUCCAUCGCAGUGGCACAACCCAUUAUAGCGCAUCUUCCUGUACACCACCUGCAAAUGGAACAGAUAGCAUAAUGGCAAACAGAGGAAGUGGAGCAGCAGGAAGUUCACAGACAGGCGAUGCACUGGGAAAAGCACUUGCAUCUAUCUACUCUCCAGAUCACACCAACAACAGCUUUUCAUCAAAUCCUUCAACUCCUGUUGGUUCUCCCCCUUCUCUCUCAGCAGGCACAGCUGUUUGGUCUAGAAAUGGAGGGCAAGCAUCAUCAUCUCCCAAUUAUGAAGGUCCCUUACACUCUUUGCAAAGCCGGAUUGAAGACCGCUUGGAAAGACUGGAUGAUGCUAUUCAUGUUCUCCGGAAUCAUGCAGUGGGGCCUUCAACUGCCAUGCCUGGUAGUCAUAGCGACAUGCAUGGCUUAAUAGGGUCCUCUCAUAAUGGAGCAAUGGGAGGUCUUGGGUCAGGAUAUGGGACAGGCCUUCUUUCAGCCAAUAGACAUUCGCUAAUGGUUGGGGCUCAUCGUGAAGAUGCAGUUGGCCUCCGUGGCAGCCAUUCGCUUGUGCCAAACCAGGUUCCCGUUCCGCAGCUGCCAGUACAGUCUGCCACAUCUCCUGACUUAAACCAGCCUCAAGAUCCAUACCGAGGCAUGCCAACAGGACUUCAAGGACAAAGUGUCUCUUCAGGGAGUUCGGAAAUCAAAUCUGAUGAUGAGGGAGACGAAAACCUCCAGGACGCAAAGUCUUCUGAUGACAAGAAGUUAGACGAUGACAAGAAGGAUAUCAAAUCAAUUACUAGGUCAAGAUCUAGCAAUAAUGAUGAUGAAGAUCUUACACCGGAGCAAAAAGCAGAGCGUGAAAAAGAAAGAAGAAUGGCCAACAAUGCUCGUGAGCGCCUCCGUGUCCGUGACAUCAAUGAGGCUUUCAAAGAGCUGGGCCGAAUGGUACAGCUCCACCUGAAAAGUGACAAGCCCCAGACCAAACUUUUGAUCUUGCAUCAAGCUGUGGCUGUUAUCCUCAGCUUAGAGCAGCAAGUCAGAGAAAGGAAUCUGAAUCCUAAAGCAGCAUGUCUGAAAAGGAGGGAAGAAGAGAAAGUAUCUUCAGAUCCUCCUCCACUUUCUUUGGCAGGACCCCACCCAGGAAUGGGAGACACAUCAAAUCAUAUGGGACAGAUGUAAAAAGAAGGUCCAAGUUGCCACAUUUUCUUCAUGUAAAACCAGAGACCACUUCCUUAACAGCUGUAUUAUCUUAAAACCACAUAAACACUUAAUCCCCCUUUUUGUAAUAUAAUAAGACAAGUCUGAGUAGCUACAAAUCACAGACGCAAGAGAUUCCAGCAUUCCCAAUACGAAACAGGAAAAGACAAGAGAAAGAAAAAGUGCAACUUGAGGGACAUCUCUCUUCAACAUAUCAUUCAGAAUGUUUCAAGAGUAUGUUAGGAGCUGUAAAUGCACAGCCAAGAGACUGAAUGGCAAUCUUCUCCACACUGUGGGACAAUGCAUUUGUGCCUAAACUUCUUUUGGAAAAAAAAAUAUAAUUAAUUUGUGUCACAGGAAGUACUGCUUUUGACCGAACUAAUAGGUGGCGUUGUCAUCAGAGACAGAACUUCACAUGCAAUGGGUUUAAACGUGCCAUUGGUGUUCUCAGAAGUACUACAUUCCAGAUGCUGUAUAAAACUGAAGUUCUGGCCAUCUUGAGUUCUUCUCAAAACAAAGAGUGUUCUAGUGGUCUCUUCACACUCAUCCUUUCAGUAGCUGAUAAGAAUCUGUUUUCUGGACACAACUUGUAGUAAAAGCAUCUGUCCUUUACUUAUGGCCCAAACCAUUGUGUAUUUUGGCUAUGCAGUGUAAUAUAGUUGUUGAAAAUCUGGCCCACAUUUGGCCUUGAAUUACAGUUGGUUAAGAAAGUGUAAGUUUGAAUUCCUCUGUAAAGUCAUAUCCUUUGGAAUGGAAGGUGCUAUAUAAAUGUAAAAUGGCGUUCAUGAUCAUCAGUAUGUAGCUUUUCUGUAAAUAUAGCACCUGUAUUUCACUUGAAAACUGUCAUGUACAUAUAUAAUGCACCUAUGGACAAUGGGUGAAGGUCAUGAAGGUGCUAACAUGUAUGCAAAAAAUAAAUUGAACUAUGUAAAGAAUUAUUCCACCUGAAAAAAAAGCAAGAUACAAUCUAUCCAAUUCAACUUUUAAGGACUGGAAAAAAAUGUAAAUUGACAUAGCAUUGCUGGUAGUGAACACCUUCAGAAAGUUUUAUGUGGUAAUGAGAUUAUUUUCAUGUCUGUAGGCAGAAUGACCUCUGCCUUGCUAUUGCAAUUUGACCUGUACUAAAGAGCCAAGCAAAGUGGUCAUUUAUCUCUCUGCCCCCUUCCCUUCCCCAUGGAACAUUUGUUGAAAUUGUACAUUAUAAAUGCUAACUGAUUGUAUUUAGAUCUUUGUUAAAAGGGGGGAAAGAAGUACGGUAAUAAAUGCUGGUUCACCUUACUGCAUCCUAUCAGUCCGGAAGGUUU